CCUACGGGCGGCAGCAGUGGGGAAUUUUCCGCAAUGGGCGCAAGCCUGACGGAGCAACGCCGCGUGAGGGAGGACUGCCUGUGGGUUGUAAACCUCUUUUCUCAGGGAAGAAGAACUGACGGUACCUGAGGAAUCAGCAUCGGCUAACUCCGUGCCAGCAGCCGCGGUAAGACGGAGGAUGCAAGCGUUAUCCGGAAUUAUUGGGCGUAAAGCGUCCGUAGGUGGUUUAGUAAGUCUGCUGUUAAAGACCACAGCUCAACUGUGGGUCGGCAGUGGAAACUACUAGACUAGAGAGUGGUAGGGGUAGAGGGAAUUCCUAGUGUAGCGGUGAAAUGCGUAGAUAUUAGGAAGAACACCAGUGGCGAAGGCGCUCUACUGGGCCAUUACUGACACUGAUGGACGAAAGCUAGGGGAGCGAAAGGGAUUAGAUACCCCAGUAGUC
rnacentral:rRNA from 1 species